rnacentral:tRNA from 1 species
GGGGUUGUGGCUCAGUGGUGGAGUGCUCAUCCAGUACAUGUGAGGUACUGGGUUCAAACCUCAGCACCACA